rnacentral:rRNA from 1 species
GGUCUAAGGCCCGCGGCGGUGCCCGCACGGCGGUUAUCCGCUCCGUUCGGCCCCGCGGUGUCCCGACCGGCUCGCCCAAYGGUAGAAAAGGACGCGGGGCCGCGAUUCAUUCGCGCCCGACCCGUAGCAAGCGAGGACGGUAUCACGACGUCCAGACCCGGUCCGGGCCAGGGACCGUCCCACUAUUGGCGGCGGAGUUCUCGGGCGGACCCCGGUGCGCUUAUACGCUCUACGUUUGUCCGCGACGCUAUAGCCUUGGGUACUUUCAGGACCCGUMUUGAA